rnacentral:hammerhead_ribozyme from 1 species
AUUCAAAUUAUGAGUCCCAAAUAGAAUGAAACGCGCGUCGUGGAU